AACGAACGCUGACGGCGAGCCUUAUACAUGCAAGUCGAGCGAGAAAGCCUUCGGGUGAGUAGAGCGGCGCACGGGUGAGUAACGCGUGGGUAAUCUUCCUUUUGGAUGCGGACAACCUGUCGAAAGAUAGGCUAAUCCGCAAUGUGCUUGAGAAUCGUAAAGUUUUUCAAGGAAAGAUGGUGCAAGCUAUCGCCAAAAGAUGAGCCUGCGUUCCAUUAGUUUGUUGGUGGGGUAAAGGCCCACCAAGACU
rnacentral:rRNA from 1 species